GUGUUUGGAGCUGGAGACGGCCUGGGUGCUGGCGAAGCGGAGGCCGGAGUAAGAAGACUGUUAGAAUGCCCUCGGUAACACAGAGGCUGAGAGAUCCUGACAUAAAUCCUUGUUUGUCGGAAUCUGAUGCUUCCACCAGAUGUCUGGAUGAAAAUAACUAUGACAGGGAAAGGUGUUCCACUUACUUCUUGAGGUACAAAAACUGCCGGAGAUUCUGGGUAAGCCUAGAUUGGUUAGCUUUGUGUUAAAACCCAUCUCCUAGGGUUGAAACUGAAGCCUAAAAUUAGUCAGUACCCACAAUCCUUUCCCACUGAUGGCUGUAGGGAAACUUAACUUUUCAACUUUAUCCUCUGUGUGCUACUUUAGCCGUGAAAGAUCCUUGAGAGCUCUUGUUAGCUGCCUCGUCGUCCUCUAAGCUAUAAGAAUGCAGUUUUAAUAUAGGUGGGUCUUCUUAGACAUUUAAGUAUCUGCAGCCCUAAAACAAUGUCUUUGUUAUAAAUUUAGUUUUCCUGGAGAUGAACAGAAUGUUUAACUUCCCUUGUCAUAACACAUCAUGUUAGGCUUCAAUUUCUGCCUUUUU
rnacentral:lncRNA from 1 species